rnacentral:rRNA from 1 species
CUUGACAUCCAGAGAACUUGGCAGAGAUGCCUCGGUGCCUUCGGGAACUCUGAGACAGGUGCUGCAUGGCUGUCGUCAGCUCGUGUUGUGAAAUGUUGGGUUAAGUCCGCAACGAGCGCAACCCCUAUCCUUUGUUGCCAGCGAUUCGGUCGGGAACUCAAAGGAGACUGCCGGUGAUAAACCGGAGGAAGGUGGGGAUGACGUCAAGUCAUCAUGGCCCUUACGAGUAGGGCUACACACGUGCUACAAUGGCGUAUACAAAGAGAAGCGACCUCGCGAGAGCAAGCGGACCUCAUAAAGUACGUCGUAGUCCGGAUUGGAGUCUGCAACUCGACUCCAUGAAGUCGGAAUCGCUAGUAAUCGUAGAUCAGAAUGCUACGGUGAAUACGUUCCCGGGCCUUGUACACACCGCCCGUCACACCAUGGGAGUGGGUUGCAAAAGAAGUAGAUAGCUUAACCUUCGGGAGGGCGUUUACCACUUUGUGAUUCAUGACUGGGGUGAAGUCGUAACAAGGUAAGCGUAGCGAG